GACGAACGCUGGCGGCGUGCUUAACACAUGCAAGUCGAACGGAAAGGCCCUGCGUUUGUGGGGUGCUCGAGUGGCGAACGGGUGAGUAACACGUGAGUAACCUGCCCUUGACUUUGGGAUAACUUCAGGAAACUGGGGCUAAUACCGGAUAGGAGCUCCUGCUGCAUGGUGGGGGUUGGAAAGUGUCGGCGGUUGGGGAUGUACUCGCGGCUUAUCAGCUUGUUGGUGGGGUAGUGGCUUACCAAGGCUUUGACGGGUAGCCGGCCUGAGAGGGUGACCGGCCACAUUGGGACUGAGAUACGGCCCAGACUCCUACGGGAGGCAGCAGUGGGGAAUAUUGCACAAUGGGCGGAAGCCUGAUGCAGCAACGCCGCGUGCGGGAUGACGGCCUUCGGGUUGUAAACCGCUUUCGCCUGUGACGAAGCGUGAGUGACGGUAAUGGGUAAAGAAGCACCGGCUAACUACGU
rnacentral:rRNA from 1 species